rnacentral:rRNA from 1 species
GAUGAACGCUGGCGGCGUGCCUAAUACAUGCAAGUCGAGCGAACAGACGAGGAGCUUGCUCCUCUGACGUUAGCGGCGGACGGGUGAGUAACACGUGGAUAACCUACCUAUAAGACUGGGAUAACUUCGGGAAACCGGAGCUAAUACCGGAUAAUAUAUUGAACCGCAUGGUUCAAUAGUGAAAGACGGUUUUGCUGUCACUUAUAGAUGGAUCCGCGCCGCAUUAGCUAGUUGGUAAGGUAACGGCUUACCAAGGCGACGAUGCGUAGCCGACCUGAGAGGGUGAUCGGCCACACUGGGACUGAGACACGGUCCAGACUCCUACGGGAGGCAGCAGUAGGGAAUCUUCCGCAAUGGGCGAAAGCCUGACGGAGCAACGCCGCGUGAGUGAUGAAGGUCUUCGGAUCGUAAAACUCUGUUAUUAGGGAAGAACAAAUGUGUAAGUAACUAUGCACGUCUUGACGGUACCUAAUCAGAAAGCCACGGCUAACUACGU